rnacentral:rRNA from 1 species
AAUUAAGGUGAAACCGCGAAAGGCUCAUUAAAUCAGUUAUGGUUCCUUAGAUCGUACCCACAAUUACUUGGAUAACUGUGGUAAUUCUAGAGCUAAUACAUGCAAAUAGAGCUCCGACCGGAGACGGAAGGAGUGCUUUUAUUAGAUCAAAACCAAUCGGUGGCGGGUUCGCGCUCGUCAUCGUACAACUUGGUGACUCUGAAUAACUUUACGCUGAUCGCACGGUCAUCGCACCGGCGACGCAUCUUUCAAAUGUCUGCCUUAUCAACUGUCGAUGGUAGGUUCUGCGCCUACCAUGGUUGUAACGGGUAACGGGGAAUCAGGGUUCGAUUCCGGAGAGGGAGCCUGAGAAACGGCUACCACAUCCAAGGAAGGCAGCAGGCGCGCAAAUUACCCACUCCCGGCACGGGGAGGUAGUGACAAAAAAUAACGAUACGGCACUCAUCCGAGGCCCCG